ACGGAGGGUGCAAGCGUUAAUCGGAAUUACUGGGCGUAAAGCGCGCGUAGGCGGCUGAAUCAGUCGGGUGUGAAAUCCCUGGGCUCAACCUGGGAACUGCAUUCGAUACUGUUCAGCUGGAGUAUGGGAGAGGGCAGUGGAAUUCCACGUGUAGCGGUGAAAUGCGUAGAUAUGUGGAGGAACACCUGUGGCGAAGGCGACUGCCUGGCCCAAUACUGACGCUGAGGUGCGAAAGCGUGGGUAGCGAACAGG
rnacentral:rRNA from 1 species